AGCGAACGCUGGCGGCAGGCCUAACACAUGCAAGUCGAACGAACUCUUCGGAGUUAGUGGCGGACGGGUGAGUAACACGUGGGAACGUGCCUUUUGGUUCGGAAUAACUCAGGGAAACUUGUGCUAAUACCGAAUGUGCCCUUCGGGGGAAAGAUUUAUCGCCAUUAGAGCGGCCCGCGUCUGAUUAGCUAGUUGGUGAGGUAACGGCUCACCAAGGCGACGAUCAGUAGCUGGUCUGAGAGGAUGACCAGCCACACUGGUACUGAGACACGGCCCAGACUCCUACGGGAGGCAGCAGUGGGGAAUCUUGCGCAAUGGGCGAAAGCCUGACGCAGCCAUGCCGCGUGAAUGAUGAAGGUCUUAGGAUUGUAAAAUUCUUUCACCGGGGACGAUAAUGACGGUACCCGGAGAAGAAGCCCCGGCUAACUUCGUG
rnacentral:rRNA from 1 species